ensembl:lncRNA
UGACUUUUCUCUCCUCCUCUUGAGACAGACACCAAAUCCCCUUUGAGACCAGCAGAAAUAUUACACAGAAAUCAAACAACACUGGCUGCAUGUGUGUGUGUGUGUGUGUGUGUGUGUGUGUGUGUGUAGAGGUGGGUACAUGUGUGCCUGUGCGUGAGUGCGCCUCGAAUGCCGCCAGGCCUCGUUGUGAUGCUCACCGAAGCCAAAGAGCAAGAACGCUGCUGACCGUGUUGCUAUGGCUGCCUGUGCUAAAGCAGACAUUUGCCAGCCUAUGACAAAUGCCCACGUGUGCCUGAGGUUUUCCUCCCUCUGAUUUCCUCAUGCAGUGGAGCAGAAGCUACGAUCCAGCUGUUUAUCUCUCCAUCACUACGAACCCAGUCACCUUUUUCAGCCCUGUCUUCCUGAUGUUGCCCUUAACCCCUUCAUGCAUGAAUUAUGACAACCUCAAUCAGGAUUCUUUAUUAAGUAUUUUUAUUCAUCUUUAGGCAUGAAAAAAGAUUUUUGAACUUCAUUUUUUUAAACAUGUACUUUUAAAAGAGUUUUUUUACGUGUCCACUUAGGUGGACAGCAUACUUUUUAACUUAUGAAUUUGACAAAUGAAUAAAUAAUUUACACUGUGUUGUGUUUAUGUGCAAGUAUACAUCAACGCUGACACAAAUACAAGAAAACAGCCUUUGAAUAGCUGUCCACUGUAGUGACCACUAUGCAUGAAAGGGUUAAGUAGCAGUAGUGCUCACUCUGACCUGAUGGGAGUAGCAGCCCUUUAGAGCAGGGGUGUCAAACAUAAGGCUCGGGGGCUAGAAUUGGCCCGGCAAGGAGUCCAAUCCGGCAAACUGGAUUUUAAAAUGUGGAGGGCUUAAAUUGUGGAGUUUGUAUUUUUAUGGAUUUUACAGUUGAUUAAGAUCUCCCCCAUGGCCUCUCAUACUACACCAAAGUCAUUAUAAGAGAGAAACAGUUAAAAGGGAGAAAAGUUCCUGUUUUUUCACCAUUUACUAUAGAAAUUGCAUGCUUUUGUUUUUUACAGUAUCUCCACAGUAAGCCAGCACACAAUAAAUAGUAAGUGUGUUUAUAUUCAUCUGGUCUUCUUGCACUUUUAUCUAACAUACAGACAGUUCGUGUUUUAGCAUUAGGUACUUGAUAACUUGCACUGAGCUGUUUGUUGAGUUGAAAUUAGAUACAGAAGUGUUGUAAUUUCCACUCUGACCUCAUCACAGCAGUGCUGCAGACACAAUGAUAGAGAAAUGCGCCUGUUUGGGUUAUUGUAACAGUAACUUGGCAGGUUUAGUUUAUUGUGCAGUGACCAUGCAGCAUGAAUCUAAAUGUAAUAAAUCAUUUCCCUCUGUAAGAAGUAUACAGCUGUGUGUCUGUAAGCUAACAGUAUAAACGUGACAUAUCAAUAUUAA